rfam:Gossypium raimondii Chr05_contig_1347, whole genome shotgun sequence.
UAUUAAAAAUUCCAUCUAUUUAUACUGUUAAAAGUUGGUGUGAUUGACGAAAUAAUCAAACAGUGACAUGUGACCUGCCACAUGUACAUCAUGCUAAUGUAUAGGGGUCAAUUUUUAAUAAUAGAAAUGGAUAAAAUUUUUAACG